rnacentral:rRNA from 1 species
AUUGAACGCUGGCGGCAGGCUUAACACAUGCAAGUCGAGCGAGCGGCGGACGGGUGAGUAAUGUCUGGGAAACUGCCUGAUGGAGGGGGAUAACUACUGGAAACGGUAGCUAAUCCCGCCUAACAUCAGAUGUGCCCAGAUGGGAGUAGCUAGUAGGUGGGGUAAGGGCACACCUAGGCGACGAGCCAUAGCUGGUCUGAGAGGAUGACCAGCCACACGGGAACUGAGACACGGUCCAGACUCCUACGGGAGGCAGCAGUGGGGAAUAUUGCACAAUGGGCGCAAGCCUGUUGCAGCCAUGCCGCGUGUGUGAAGAAGGCCUUCGGGUUGUGAAGCACUUUCAUCGAGGAGGCGUUACUCGCAGAAGAAGCACCGGCUAACUCCGUGCCAGCAGCCGCGGUAAUUC